CAUCCAUAAAAUUCUCAUGAUCUUACAUAAAAGCAGUCAUGUCAUCAUUAUCAUAUUCUAAAAAGCUUCAAGUCAAGUUGCCUUCAUCCAAAAGAAAAGGUUGCAAUAAGCCUCCUACAGUUAAAUAGUCUGCAAACACUAAAACAAAAUCUGUGUUUAGGUACAUUGAGCAUAACAAGUUAGACAUUUUGAGUUUAGAGCACUCAAAAGAAAAAUAUGAACACCUGAUGUGGAAUGAACACAGCCAAAAAAGGGACAUUCUAGUAGUCUAGCAACUUUUCAAGACAUAUUCUUGAGCUAAUGACACAAUCAUAACAGAACUCCCAAAUAGUAUAAGCAAAAGAGAAAGGGAG
rnacentral:lncRNA from 1 species